rnacentral:rRNA from 1 species
GGCGAACGCUGGCGGCGUGCUUAACACAUGCCAGUCGAACGAUGAAGCCUAGCUUGCUAGGUGGAUUAGUGGCGAACGGGUGAGUAAUACGUGAGUAACCUACCUUUAACUCUGGGAUAAGCCCGGGAAACUGGGUCUAAUACCGGAUACGACCAAUCUCCGCAUGGGGUGUUGGUGGAAAGCGUUAUGUAGUGGUUAUAGAUGGGCUCACGGCCUAUCAGCUUGUUGGUGAGGUAACGGCUCACCAAGGCGACGACGGGUAGCCGGCCUGAGAGGGUGACCGGCCACACUGGGACUGAGACACGGCCCAGACUCCUACGGGAGGCAGCAGUGGGGAAUAUUGCACAAUGGGCGCAAGCCUGAUGCAGCGACGCCGCGUGAGGGAUGACGGCCUUCGGGUUGUAAACCUCUGUUAGCAGGGAAGAAGAGAGAUUGACGGUACCUGCAGAGAAAGCGCCGGCUAACUACGUG